GGGAAUCUUCGGAUUCUAGUGGCGGACGGGUGAGUAACGCGUAAGAAUCUAACUUCAGGACGGGGACAACAGUUGGAAACGACUGCUAAUACCCGAUAUGCCGCAAGGUGAAACCUAACUGGCCUGGAGAAGAGCUUGCGUCUGAUUAGCUAGUUGGUGGGGUAAGAGCCUACCAAGGCGACGAUCAGUAGCUGGUCUGAGAGGAUGAGCAGCCACACUGGGACUGAGACACGGCCCAGACUCCUACGGGAGGCAGCAGUGGGGAAUUUUCCGCAAUGGGCGAAAGCCUGACGGAGCAACGCCGCGUGAGGGAGGAAGGUCUUUGGAUUGUAAACCUCUUUUCUCAAGGAAGAAGUUCUGACGGUACUUGAGGAAUCAGCCUCGGCUAACUCCGUGCCAGCAGCCGCGGUAAUACGGGGGAGGCAAGCGUUAUCCGGAGUUAUUGGGCGUAUAGCGUCCGCAGGUGGUCAGCCAAGUCUGCCGUCAAAUCAGGUUGCUUAACGACCUAAAGGCGGUGGAAACUGGCAGACUAGAGAGCAGUAGGGGUAGCAGGAAUUCCCAGUGUAGCGGUGAAAUGCGUAGAGAUUGGGAAGAACAUCGGUGGCGAAAGCGUGCUACUGGGCUGUAUCUGACACUCAGGGACGAAAGCUAGGGGAGCGAAAGGGAUUAGAUACCCCUGUAGUCCUAGCCGUAAACGAUGGAUACUAGGCGUGGCUUGUAUCGACCCGAGCCGUGCCGAAGCUAACGCGUUAAGUAUCCCGCCUGGGGAGUACGCACGCAAGUGUGAAACUCAAAGGAAUUGACGGGGGCCCGCACAAGCGGUGGAGUAUGUGGUUUAAUUCGAUGCAACGCGAAGAACCUUACCAAGACUUGACAUGUCGCGAACCCUNGNUGAAAGCUGGGGGUGCCUUCGGGAGCGCGAAC
rnacentral:rRNA from 1 species